rnacentral:tmRNA from 1 species
UGAGGUAGAUCAGAUAAGAAAGCUCAACGUCCUACGCACGUAGAAAGCAUCUUGGUCUCCGCUUUGGACCCGGGUUCGAUUCCCGGCACCUCCACAC